GAGUUUGAUCAUGGCUCAGGAUGAACGCUGGCGGCGUGCCUAAUACAUGCAAGUCGAGCGAACGGACGAGAAGCUUGCUUCUCUGAUGUUAGCGGCGGACGGGUGAGUAACACGUGGAUAACCUACCUAUAAGACUGGGAUAACUUCGGGAAACCGGAGCUAAUACCGGAUGAUAUUUUGAACCGCAUGGUUCAAAAGUGAAAGACGGUCUUGCUGUCACUUAUAGAUGGAUCCGCGCUGCAUUAGCUAGUUGGUAAGGUAACGGCUUACCAAGGCAACGAUGCAUAGCCGACCUGAGAGGGUGAUCGGCCACACUGGAACUGAGACACGGUCCAGACUCCUACGGGAGCAGCAGUAGGGAAUCUUCCGCAAUGGGCGAAAGCCUGACGGAGCAACGCCGCGUGAGUGAUGAAGGUCUUCGGAUCGUAAAACUCUGUUAUUAGGGAAGAACAUAUGUGUAAGUAACUGUGCACAUCUUGACGGUACCUAAUCAGAAAGCCACGGCU
rnacentral:rRNA from 1 species